CUGCAUUUGAUCGAGUGUGCCAGAUUGCUUUUCAGGAUAGUAAUCGUGUGUCUCCAUGUUGCAACUUUCUCCCAGGUUGAAAAUCAAGAGUUUUGGCUCGGCGAACGCUUCGUCUUAAGAUUCGUCUCCAAGCUUUUGAAGAGUGAAAGGCUACUGCAUUUUUCCUCAUCCCUGCUCUUCCUCAGCAAAACCUCCUGAUGCCUGGAUGUUCUUAGUUCCUGACACAAUGCUUUCAAAUUAUUAUUUUUAUGGUAUUUUCUAUGCACUUAUUAUGCUCCAG
rnacentral:lncRNA from 1 species